GAUGAACGCUAGCUACAGGCUUAACACAUGCAAGUCGAGGGGCAGCAUGGUCUUAGCUUGCUAAGGCCGAUGGCGACCGGCGCACGGGUGAGUAACACGUAUCCAACCUGCCGUCUACUCUUGGACAGCCUUCUGAAAGGAAGAUUAAUACAAGAUGGCAUCAUGAGUCCACAUGUUCACAUGAUUAAAGGUAUUCCGGUAGACGAUGGGGAUGCGUUCCAUUAGAUAGUAGGCGGGGUAACGGCCCACCAAGGCAAUGAUGGGUAGCCGGCCUGAGAGGGUGAACGGCCACAAGGGGACUGAGACACGGCCCUU
rnacentral:rRNA from 1 species